GGGAGGCUGCCGGGUGCACGCCUCCUCCUCCUCCUUCUGAGCAGCGGCCUUUGCUCGUCCUGCAGCCCACGUGGCUUUGCCGGCGCCCUUCCAGAACCGAAUUCUAAGCAGACCUUGCAAUAAGGAAAAGGAUUCAUUUAUUUACAUAACAUAUCUAUGUAGCCUCCUAUCUUACAACUAACUGGGUGGCUUCCAAUGAAAAAUUGUUCCAUCUAAAGUUAACAUCCCAGGGUUGCCAUUUCAGCAUCAUGCCCAAGAAAGGAGGAAGACGAGCUAGAAUAGAGAAGAAACCAGAUUUGCCAAGCAAGCUAGCAAAAACAGAAGCAGUCAGUCCUUUGCUUUGGAAAUAUGACAAUCCAGAGAGCUUAUUUGAAAGUUUGAUUUCUCCUGUCAAAGAAGAUGAAUUUUUUAGAGAAUAUUGGGAACAGAAGCCACUGUUGAUUCAGAGAGAUGAUUCCUUCGUGGCAUCGUAUUAUCAGUCUCUCUUUCAGUUAACUGACUUGAAAGACCUAGUCAAACUAGGCUUGUAUUAUGGAAAAGACAUCAAUAUAUGUAGAUGUACGAAUGGCAAAAAACUUAUUUUUAAUAAAGAUGGAAAAGUAACCUAUACACAACUGAAGAAAGAUUUUGAUCAGAAAAAGGCUACUGUACAGUUUCACCAGCCACAGAGAU